rnacentral:rRNA from 1 species
GGGGGAAUUUUGGAAAAAGGGCGCAAGCCUGAUUCAGCCAUGCCGCGUGAGUGAUGAAGGCCCUAGGGUUGUAAAGCCCCUUCACCGGGGAAGAAAAUGACGGUAACCGGAGAAGAAGCCCCGGCUAACUUCGUGCCAGCAGCCCCGGUAAUAAGAAGGGGGCUAGCGUUGUGCGGAUUUACUGGGCGUAAAGCGCACGUAGGCGGACUAUUAAGUCAGGGGUGAAAUCCCGGGGCUCAACCCCGGAACUGCCUUUGAUACUGGUAGUCUUGAGUUCGAGGGAGGUGUGUGGAAUUCCGGGUGUAGAGGGGAAAUUCGUAGAUAUUCGGAGGAACACCAGUGGCGAAGGCGGCUCACUGGCUCGAUACUGACGCUGAGGUGCGAAAGCGUGGGGAGCAAACAGG